CAAUAGCGUAUAUUAACGUUGUUGCAGUUAAAAAGCUCGUAGUUGGAUUUCUGGAGGGAGCGUCGGCCCGUAUUUACGAGGGCGUGACGUCUCUGUCCAUCCUUGCGGGAAGGCACGGCAUUGAUUUGCUGUGUCGGAUCGCAUCAUUUACUGUGAAAAAAUUAGAGUGUUCAAAGCAGGCUUUCGCUUGAAUACAUUAGCAUGGAAUAAUAAGAUAGGACUUUGGUGCUAUUUUGUUGGUUGAGCCUAAAGUAAUGAUUAAUAGGGAUAGUUGGGGGCACCUGUAUUGCGUUGUCAGAGGUGAAAUUCUUGGAUUUACGCAAGACAAACAGCUGCGAAAGCGUCUGCCAAGGAUGUUUUCAUUAA
rnacentral:rRNA from 1 species